UUUUAUUUUAAUAACAAUAAAAUAUUAAAAUUAAUAAAUGUAAAGGUUAAAUAAUAAGAAGGCUUGAUUGUGAGAGUAACUACUUAAACAAGGACGAAAGUCGGUCUUAGUGAUCCGACAACUCUAAGUGGUAGGAUUGUCGCUUAACGGAUAAAAGUUACUCUAGGGAUAACAGGCUGAUCUCUCCCGAUAGUCCAUAUUGACGGGGAGGUUUGGCACCUCGAUGUCGGCUCGUCGCAUCCUGAGGCUGUAGCAGGUCUCAAGGGAUGGUCUGUUCGCCCAUUAAAGCGGCACGUGAGCUGGGUUCAGAACCAAUAUAGAUUGGUACAGAGAAGUUAC
rnacentral:ncRNA from 1 species